GACGAACGCUGGCGGCGUGCUUAACACAUGCAAGUCGAGCGGUAAGGCCCUUUCGGGGGUACACGAGCGGCGAACGGGUGAGUAACACGUGAGCAACCUGCCCUUCUCUUUGGAAUAAGCGUUGGAAACGACGUCUAAUGCCGAAUAUGACUUCCUUUCGCAUGAUGGGGAGUGGAAAGCUCUGGCGGAGAAGGAUGGGCUUGCGGCCAAGCAGCUAGUUGGUGGGGGUAAUGGCCCACCAAGGCGACGACGGGUAGCCGGCCUGGGAGGGUGACCGGCCACACUGGGACUGAGACACGGCCCAGACUCCUACGGGAGGCAGCAGUGGGGAAUAUUGGACAAUGGGCGAAAGCCUGAUCCAGCAACGCCGCGUGAGGGAUGACGGCCUUCGGAUUGUAAACCUCUUUCAGCAGGGACGAAGCGAGAGUGACGGUACCUGCAGAAGAAGGACCGGCCAACUACGUGCCAGCCGCCGCAGUAACAC
rnacentral:rRNA from 1 species